rnacentral:rRNA from 1 species
GAUGAACGCUGGCGGCGUGCCUAAUAUAUGCAAGUCGAGCGAACAGACGAGGAGCUUGCUCCUCUGACGUUAGCGGCAGACGGGUGAGUAACACGUGGAUAACCUACCUAUAAGACUGGGAUAACUUCGGGAAACCGGAGCUAAUACCGGAUAAUAUAUUGAACCGCAUGGUUCAAUAGUGAAAGACGGUUUUGCUGUCACUUAUAGAUGGAUCCGCGCCGCAUUAGCUAGUUGGUAAGGUAACGGCUUACCAAGGCAACGAUGCGUAGCCGACCUGAGAGGGUGAUCGGCCACACUGGAACUGAGACACGGUCCAGACUCCUACGGGAGGCAGCAGUAGGGAAUCUUCCGCAAUGGGCGAAAGCCUGACGGAGCAACGCCGCGUGAGUGAUGAAGGUCUUCGGAUCGUAAAACUCUGUUAUUAGGGAAGAACAAAUGUGUAAGUAACUAUGCACGUCUUGACGGUACCUAAUCAGAAAGCCACGGCUAACUACGUG